AAGAAAAUUUAUUGGACAGCUGGGACUAACAACUAAUAUAACGGUGCCAUUUUACAGUGAUCCUCCUCCUCAAACUGUGCAAUUCUUUCUAAAUGGAUCUAUUAUAACAAACUCUGGAAAACAUACAGUCAGAUUCAUUAAAGGACAUGUGAAAGAUAUAUUUUAUGGACAAAAAGUGCAGCUAGUUGGGUAUUUUGCUCAGCUUGAAAUAAAGAAUGUGGAUGAAUCGAAUUUUGUUAACUACACCUUGGUCAUUGAUAACGGGAUUGGAUCAUACAAAUCAUGGAUGAUUGACCACAUCUUUGAAAAUAAACCAGAUGUACCUUAAAAUUUUACUCUUGCAAAACAAUUGAGUACAGAAAGUUCAUUUACCGUGACAUGGACUCCUGGCAAUGACAAUGGUUACCAACAAACGUUUAUAUUGAAGUAUAAAAAGGUAUCAGAUGAUGAAUGGAAUACUGUGUCAGUAUCUGAUACAGGGGAAUAUGAAAUGACCUACACUGUUACCGGAUUAUCAAGCGGGACAUACUACGAGAUUGUGUUGUAUGCUUCUAAUAUGCUAGGAAACUCGGAAGAAUCUGAAAUUAUACUUGCCAAAACGAAAGGAAAAGCAAAGAUACAAGAUUGCAACAACGGCGCCUGUAAUAAUGACAUAAAAGCAGUGAUUGUAGGCAUUGUUCUUGGAAUAAUCAUCGUGGUUAAGUCGUGGCAUAUGCUGGUUAUGUUACAAUAUUACUGAAACGAAAAAGUGAAAACACAGCGGGAAAUAACUCUGGACAGCCCACUAAGCUGACUAAAAACAAUGUACCUUUGUAUUCAAAUAUGGUGUUCUCAACAAAUGAUGGUGAGGACCAACAGGGAACAGAUCCAGAUGAAUCCGGAGAGUCUCAAUAUACGUCACUGAAGACCGAACUAAAAGACGAUAGACAAACAUAUGACGUAUUAAGAGUGUAGUGUUAAAUAAUUGAAGACAAAGAGAAAUCAAGAUUUCGACUGAAAGGCAUUUUACUUAUGAUAUUUAAAUUACAAUUUUAAAUACUUGUGAACGUAAAAAAUAACUGAAAAAAAGAU